UACGUGGGGUGCAAGCGUUGUCCGGAAUUAUUGGGCGUAAAGAGCUCGUAGGCGGUUUGUCGCGUCUGCCGUGAAAGUCCGGGGCUCAACUCCGGAUCUGCGGUGGGUACGGGCAGACUAGAGUGAUGUAGGGGGAGACUGGAAUUCCUGGUGUAGCGGUGAAAUGCGCAGAUAUCAGGAGGAACACCGAGUGGCGAAGGCAGGUCUCUGGGCAUUAACUGACGCUGAGGAGCGAAAGCAUGGGGAGCGAACAGG
rnacentral:rRNA from 1 species